CUGGAAGUUCUGUGGGCACCUGGGGGCUGGGGGGGCUUCUGUUCCCAUCCAGUCUUAGGGCUGUCGUGACGGGGAGUUGGGGCCACGAGGAGGCUGCCCUGGACAUGGGCCGGGACUGGCGCUCGUCCCUGCUGCUUCCUGCAGUGAUAUAAACUGUGUUAUGAGUCUGUGGUUUUUCUUCUCAACUAGAUUGAGUCUUGAGAGCAGAGACUAUGACUGAUUCAAAAAAUAUAUUAAUUAGAUAUAUUAAUUAAAGAGCACAAUUCAGUGGCAUACAGUAUAUUCACAGUGUUAUGAUACCACCACCUUCUGCCUGGUUCCAAAUGUUUUCAUCACCCCAAAGGGCACCCCACACUCGGUAAGCAGUUACCCCCCGUCCCCCUGCCCCAGCCCCUGGCCACCCCCAUCUGCUUUCUGUCUCUGUGUACAAGUGAACUUCUGUUUCCAUCCCACUCGGUUCACUGCUGACACUUUUCCCCACACCAGUGACUCUCCAACUCUCUCACACCAGCUGGGCGUCCUAAAUUCAGUUCCCUUCUGACGCUCCCUGGAGUUGGUGCAGACCCUGCAGGUGAAGGGCCGGGCCGCACGAGACUGCCCCCGCCGCAGCCGCCAGUCACCAGUAGUGGGUCCUCAGGUCCCCACACUGUGUCUGACUUGGCUACAACUCGGAGUUCCCAUGACCUCCUCCUUGGGUUUGAUAAUUUGCUAGAGUGGCUCACAGAACUCAGGGAGACACUUACAUACAUUUACCAGUUUAUCAUAAAGGAUAGAGCUGAAGUGGUACCCAGGGCGACGUCCGGAAGGGCCCCGAGCCCAGGAGCUCCUGUCCCCGUGGAACUGGGGUGGACGCGUUCACCAACCGGCAGCUCUCUGAACCUGUUUGCCCAGGGAUUUUUAUGGAGGCUCGGUUCCCUGGGCCUGCUUGAUUACAUCAUUGGCCACUGGUGAUCCACUCUUGUUUAAUCCUCACGACCAGACAGAGGUCUUUUAAAGCAGGGCAGCUGAGGCCCAGGAGCUUAAGCAAAAAUAGAUCCCAAAUUUGCACCUGACUAUGUGGCAUCAGAGGCAAAGCUCAGAGGCCCUGCUGGUCCAGGGGAAAUUGCUGCCCCAUGGGUGGCCUAUGUCCCGGGCCGUGGGAGCCCAUUUUCACCUUCUAUUCAAGCACCUCCUCAUCACGGCCGCGGGGCCCCUUCUCACCCCCCUGAGCAUCCUAGAGAUUCUCCUCAAGGGCGUGUGAAGAAAAGCAGUUUCUGGCCCUUUCCAGCUUGCACAGCGAUAGGGGCUCUCCCUCCGGAAUCGAAACCCUUUCUUGUCAGUUGCAGUCAGCCGAGAUCAGAGGACAAAUUCCCAUUAAACUGUCAAGGAGGCAUCCGCUUUUUUUCUUUUUACCAUUAAAAAGCCACCGAUUCAAUAAUUUCCUAUUCUUCCUUCCAACUAUUCUUGCUCCCGACAAUGCAAUCAAAGCAGGAGCGGGCAAAACUUCCCCUCCUCCCCGGGUCUUCCUUUUUCUGGUCUCCCAGAAGGGAGUAGAGGCACUUUCCAUUUUUUCUUUGAGGAUUGGGAGUCACCGCUCCAAGCACCUUCCUUCCUCCCAUUUUGCAUUUUAAUGAUGGACACUUCCUUAAUGGUAAGGUGACUUUCUGAUGGAGGAAUUUUUAAAAAGAGUUUUCUGCAGAAAGACGUGGUGGCAGGAGGAUCCUGUGUGUUCCUCAGGUCAGGCAGGGAGUGGCACCUCAUUUUUGGGGAGGCAGGCCGUGCAGAUGGGGCUGUGGGCAAGGAAAGUGUGGAGCAAAUUCCACGGAGCAAAAAUGGAAAGCAGCUUCUCCCCCACUCCUAGCAGCUGAGAAAAUUGAAAGCCCCAGGGAAGGAAAGAACUGCGAUUGCGGGUGAAAUGCCGCUGGUCCCAGAGAGCUGCCGAGAAGGCUUGCAGCCCCUGUCCUUGCCCCUUCCUCCCGU
rnacentral:lncRNA from 1 species